GUCGACGACGAGGUGCCGCACCGGGCCGUUGCCGGCGGCCCGGGCGCGUUCGACCGCGCGCUUGACGGCG
rnacentral:tRNA from 1 species